rnacentral:miRNA from 1 species
GUUGUACAUAUAUCACUACUCU